CAAACCAGCCAUCUCACAGGAAUGUCUGAGAAUCAAUACAAUGGCAUGUGUGUGUGUGCGUGCACACGCAUGCGAUGACUACUUCUGAGGAACAACACAGGAAUCUCUUAAGAGGUCUGAUCACCACGGUUACCAAGCAUCUUCCUAGUCCCACUGGCUCUAUUUGGUCCCUUAUAUCUCCAUGUGGUUGAGUAUUCCCAAGAACUAUUAAGAACAUGCUUUACAAUGGACAUGUGGAAAAAUAGAUUGUUUAUGUCUCAGGAGUUCCCUUGUGGCUCAGUGGGUUAAGGACCAAGCGUUGUCACUGCUGUGUCUCGGGUCAUAUGCCAUAAGUAAGGCCAUGUAACAACAGCAGUAACAACAACAACAUCUUUAUUAACUCUUACUAGGUCACACUUACAUGCACGGACCAUCUUCGAGUUAAAAAAAAAAAAGAAAGACUGCCUGUGAUUUUGCAUGACAUCUGCCCACGAUUUCCACAAGGCUGGGAUAUCAGGAGAGCGCUUAAUCAGCCUUACCCCUCUAGAAAACUGCAGUGAGUGACCCCUCCAAGUGAAAGGGCACCACCCGGAUGACUGCUUCACAUCAUGAGAUCAAAACCGGCCCCCAGGGCCUCCUCAGUUUCCUCCCCAUGUCUGCAUCCAGCAUGUCCUUGGGCAGAAGUCUGCAGCUCCUGGCUGAUCCAGCUCUGACCCUGUUUGCCAGAUGGAGGUAACUGAGCGGCCUAAGUGGAUGAAGACAGCACUAACACAGACGCUGCAGGUGGAAAGACCAACAGUGUCUCUUGGCUAGUUUGCCAACACCUCAGACCUAAAGGCAAAAGGCUAUCAUUCACUCUAACCUCUUUUUUUCUUUUUUUUUUUUAAAACAGAUGAGGAACCAAGGCCAAGGGACGAAGCCAGGCCAUCUAAAACACCAGGGCAUCAGUAGCCAUACUGUUUUCCUCACAGGCAGCUUGGUGAUGCUGAGAGACCCAGAAAAAAACAGUAGUCAAGUCGGUCUAACCCUAGUGGUGACAUGUGGGUGUGGGCCCAAUUCUGCGGGCCCCUUAGCAUAAAAAAAAAAAAAACAAAUAAAAAGAACAAACGUUUAACA
rnacentral:lncRNA from 1 species